rnacentral:rRNA from 1 species
GACGGAGGAUGCAAGCGUUAUCCGGAAUUAUUGGGCGUAAAGCGUCCGCAGGUGGACAUACAAGUCUGCUGUCAAAGUGCAGAGCUUAACUCUGUAAAGGCGGUGGAAACUGUAGGUCUUGAGUAUGGUAGGGGUAGAGGGGAUUCCCGGUGUAGCGGUGAAAUGCGUAGAUAUCGGGAAGAACACCAGUGGCGAAAGCGCUCUACUGGGCCAUAACUGACACUGAGGGACGAAAGCUAGGGGAGCGAAAGGG